AUUGAACGCUGCGGCAUGCCUUACACAUGCAAGUCGAACGGCAGCACGGGAGCAAUCCUGGUGGCGAGUGGCGAACGGGUGAGUAAUAUAUCGGAACGUGCCCAGUCGUGGGGGAUAACGUAGCGAAAGCUACGCUAAUACCGCAUACGAUCUAUGGAUGAAAGCGGGGGAUCGCAAGACCUCGCGCGAUUGGAGCGGCCGAUAUCAGAUUAGGUAGUUGGUGAGGUAAAGGCUCACCAAGCCGACGAUCUGUAGCUGGUCUGAGAGGACGACCAGCCACACUGGGACUGAGACACGGCCCAGACUCCUACGGGAGGCAGCAGUGGGAAUUUUGGACAAUGGGCGCAAGCCUGAUCCAGCAAUGCCGCGUGCAGGAUGAAGGCCUUCGGGUUGUAAACUGCUUUGUACGGAACGAAACGGUGAGCUCUAAUACAGUUUGCUAAUGACGGUACCGUAAGAAUAAGCACCGGCUAACUACGUG
rnacentral:rRNA from 1 species